rnacentral:rRNA from 1 species
GACCACUGCAUUAUCACCCUGCAGCCCAAAAGUGGUUACUCACUGAAGCUAAGCAGGGUUGAGCCUGGUACCUGGAUGGGAGACCACAUGAGAAAACCAGGUUGCUGUUGGAA